AGCAGCGUGGCUCAGUGGCAAGAGCCCGGGCUUGGGAGUCCGAGGUUAUGGGUUCGAAUCCCAGCUCUGCCA
rnacentral:tRNA from 1 species